CCUACGGGAGGCAGCAGUGGGGAAUUUUGGACAAUGGGCGCAAGCCUGAUCCAGCCAUUCCGCGUGAGUGAAGAAGGCCUUCGGGUUGUAAAGCUCUUUCGCAAGGGAAGAAAACUUAGAUACUAAUAUUAUCUGAGGUUGACGGUACCUUGAUAAGAAGCACCGGCUAACUACGUGCCAGCAGCCGCGGUAAUACGUAGGGUGCGAGCGUUAAUCGGAAUUACUGGGCGUAAAGCGUGCGCAGGCGGUUUUGUAAGUCAGAUGUGAAAUCCCCGAGCUCAACUUGGGAACUGCGUUUGAAACUACAAGACUAGAAUAUGUCAGAGGGGGGUAGAAUUCCACGUGUAGCAGUGAGAUGCGUAGAGAUGUGGAGGAAUACCAAUGGCGAAGGCAGCCCCCUGGGAUAAUAUUGACGCUCAUGCACGAAAGCGUGGGGAGCAAACAGGAUUAGAUACCCUGGUAGUCCACGCCCUAAACGAUGUCUACUAGUUGUUGGUGGAGUAAAAUCCAUGAGUAACGCAGCUAACGCGUGAAGUAGACCGCCUGGGGAGUACGGUCGCAAGNUUAAAACUCAAAUGAAAUUGACGG
rnacentral:rRNA from 1 species